rnacentral:lncRNA from 1 species
UUCCUGUUCGAAAGAGAGAAUCUGCAUACCUUGGGAAGGGCGUUGACAUGAGCGGCCUAGUUGCGACUGACGCCGACGAUCUUGGUGCCUUGCUUGAACUGCCUCUCUAUCAUCGACGUCGCCAUUUUCUCCGAUCUGAUAUCAAUCAAUACUCUGGUUGACUCUGGUGUCUAAGUAGAGAAUUACAUUGUUGUUCAAGUAAUAGACUUUACGAUAUAUGUUGCCAUUUGUGAAACAUUUUCGCUGAUGUCUAUUCUUUUAAGAGUUAACCAAAAACAAGGAAUUUAGUUCUCAGUUCAGUGUCAUCCUCAUGUGUCCAGCCCACGAUUGAUCACUUCUAUUGGUUAUCAGUUGUAGAGCAAACAGUGUUAUGUUUGUCAAUUUCAAGUAAUAUUAUAAUUCAGUCUCUCUUGGACUGAGAAAUCUAUUGUUUUCUAAAUUGUCUCAGGUAGUGUUCUAACACAAAGAUUGCUAAGCUGGUUACUGCAGAUGAGGUUACCGGAACUGAGAUAAUGAGAAUUCGGAAAAUCUCUUUGCUUACACCAAGCAGGAAUGCCAAGGUUAAAUAAAAGCGUAAGAUAACUCUGUUAAAAAAAAGCAUAUCCAUGUAGAUCACUAGCUUUUUACCUAUUGCAGCAAGCUUUUUCCGACUGCAUAGCCAUUAAUGAUGAUUUGAGCGUGACACUGCAUGGUAUUAUUUUGCCUGCAGCGAUUGUCAAACAAAGACCACCAGAGGCCCUUCUUCGUUGAUGUUAACCAAGUGUUGCAACACAACACUAACAUUGCUGGUGUAGCAAAGUAUGAACUCUAACCUCACAGCUUCUUGCUUAUCUUUCUCAAAUUUGAUUUUUGUUCUCUUUUAUUCGCAUGAAUCUUGCAAAGAUCUCUGUCUACGACAAUAAUAGCCAGGCUUUUUUCGUCCUACUUGGUGACGCAGGACGUGAGUGGACAUGGAAGCAUGCCUCGGAAUUAGUUGACAACAACUUUGAGGUAACUAGCCAUCAACUGAAAAUCCUCUCCCAGUUCAUUAAAACUCACUUUAUUCCUCCUCAAAAAUUUUAGGCUAAUCGAGAACUUGGUUCUUACCAUGAGAUGCAUGCCCCCAAAAUUUAUUCGACACCAUUCGGCAAACACAUUAGUUCAGGGUCAAGAUGUCUGACUACAACUCCACAGACAAGACUCAAGCUAUAACUGUUACUAAGAUUGUCUCACCAGGAGUUCUUCCACCUGUAACAACUCAACUGAAAUACCUCUUGAUGCAAACAAUGAAGUUGAUGUGCUCUCUGCAAGUGUCGUUGCGGGCUCUGGAUUCAAUACUGAUAAGCGAAAUGAAAGUAUCAGUAACAGGGAUGAAUCACAGAAGGCUAAGCGUCCGAAACGUGGAACAUAAGAGGACCAUCUAAGUCAAGACUAAACUAAAUUCAAUGCAUUAAGACCAUUACUAAGUCAAGACUAAACUAAAUUCAGUGCGUAAAGACCAUCUAAGUCAAGACUAAAUGCAACACAGAAACACCAAAAUAGAGUGUUGAGAAUGACUUACAUCACUUCCAGGGACAGAUGCCAUUGAAGCUUGAACAGUCACUGAAACAAAAAUAAAAACAAAAGCAUGAAGCACAACAAAACAAACACCAUACUCAACACAAUAAAACAAAAGCUCAACGCAAUAAAGUGAUAAUUGUUCUUUUCUUUUGGGAUUAUGAUUAAGAGAAAAGAGAACAGAGCUCAACACAAUAAAAACAAAAGCAUGAAGCACAACAAAACAACACAAAUACACAGCAAGAGAAAAGAGAACAGAGCUCAACACAAUAAAACAGAGCAGUGAGAAUUCAUUAGAAAUGAUUUCGCCAUUAGAAAUGAAUACAUUUCUCAACAAACCAACACACAAGAGACAUUAGAGAUCUCCCAUAACAUUAAAAAUCUCACAUAACAUUUCAAGCUUUAGAACAUACUCUCUAGUAUCCUGCAAACAUCAAAGAAGAUGAAGCUUACCAGAAGGAAACCGAGAUGCUUUAGAACAGAGACCGUGUGAGAGAUACCAUCAAAGCUCCAUUCUUUCUGCUAAGAAAAACAAAACAAAUGAGAUUUCCAAAAGGUUACCAAUAGAGAGAGAGAGAGAGGGAGAGACUGCGUGAGUGAGAGAGAGAGAGAGAGAGAGAGAGAGAGAGAGACUGCGUGAGUGAGAGAGAGAGAGAGAGACUGCACCGAGGUCGAGAUCGGUUUACGAGAACCCCACCGUAGCAGAGGUGUAUUCGCGGCGGACUCUACCGUUCCGGCGUGCUUGAGGCGCAGAAGAAGCUCCACCACCACCGCGUCUUCCGUCAGAGCCGCCGUCACCCACUCGUCCUGCGUAACUGCCGUCGGUUUCCAAAAGGUUACCAAUAGAGAGAGAGAGAGGGAGAGACUGCGCCGACGCCUAAUCUCGACCUCGGUUUACGAGAACCCCACCGUAGCAGAGGUGUAUUCGCGGUGGACUCUACCGUUCCGGCGUGCUUGAGACGCAUAAGAAGCUUCACCACCACCGCGUCUUCCGUCAGAGCCGCCGUCACCCACUCGUCUUGCGUAACUGCCGUCGGUUUCUUCCUCGAAAUGGAACACUGAUAAAACUCUCGGAUACAGAAACGGCGAUAGAGAGAGAGAGAGAGAGAGAGAGAGAGAGAGAGAGAGAGAGAGAGAGAGAGACUUACCAAUAGAGCUUGAGAGAGGGAGAGACUGCGUGAGAGAGAGAUGGGUUCGAGAGAGAGACUCUGUGAGAGAGAGAGAUGGGUUCGAGAGAGAGAGACUGCCUGAGAGAGAGAGACAGAGAGAGAGGGCUGAGAGAGAUCAGAGGUUCAUGGUUGCAGAGAUCUGAGGUUGAAGAGAGGAGGAUGAAGAGAUACGGGAUCUAGGUUAAAAAAAAUUAAUGGCAAAACUUUUGUAAUUUUUAAAAUAAAAUAAGUGUAUUACCGACUUUUAGCACUUUUGGAUGAGUUUGCUGUAGUUGGAAGCGUUCAAGCAUCUCAUCCAGAAAUCCCGAAAAAUCCGGAUGAGUUUUCAAAAUUAAUCUGGAUGCCGC